rnacentral:rRNA from 1 species
UGCUCUAGAAAAGGAUUUUAGUCCUGCUUAAACCUUAAUAGUUCUUCUAGAAAAUCUGUUUAAAGUUACUCAAAUAAGGUACAGCCUAUUUGAAAAAGGAGACAACCUUUAUUACUGGGUCAAAUAUUUAACUUAUAGAGAAGUAGGCCUAAAAGCAGCCAUCUUAAAUAAAAGCGUCAAAGCUUACCUGCAAACUUAAAUAAUUCCAAUCUUUCCAACCACCCCUUAUUUUUCCACAGAGCAACUCUAUACUUAUAUAGAAAAUUUUAUGUUAAAACUAGUAAUAAGAAAUAGAUUAUUCUCUUUAACGCAAGCUUAUAUCAGCCUGGACACUCCACUGAUAAUUAACGCUCAUAAUAUACGAGUUGAAACAGCACAAGAAAAACCCCCUACCAUUAGCGUUUACCUAACACCAGAGCGUUACAAGAAAGAUUUAAAGAAAAAGAAGGAACUCGGCAAAUAUUAGUCCCGCCUGUUUACCAAAAACAUCGCCUCCUGCAACAUUAAUAGGAGGUCCAGCCUGCCCAGUGACACUGUUCAACGGCCGCGGUAUCCUAACCGUGCGAAGGUAGCGUAAUCACUUGUUCUUUAAUUGAGGACUAGUAUGAAUGGCCCCACGAGGACUACACUGUCUCCUUUUUCUAAUCAAUGAAACUGAUCUCCCCGUGAAGAAGCGGGGAUAGACCUAUAAGACGAGAAGACCCUAUGGAGCUUUAAACAACAAGAAUAUUUGCUUUUUCUACCAUUUUGUAAACAGUUAAUUCAAGCAUCUUAUUUCCCAGUUUUAGGUUGGGGUGACCACGGAGAAAAAACAAACCUCCACGUUGAAAGAAGUCUCUCAUCUUCUAAGCAAAAAGACACAUCUUUAUGCAUCAACACACUGACUCCCAUUGAUCCAAUACUUUGAUCAACGAACCAAGUUACCCUAGGGAUAACAGCGCAAUCUACUUUGAGAGCUCAUAUCGACAAGUAGGUUUACGACCUCGAUGUUGGAUCAGGAUAUCCUAGUGGUGCAGCCGCUACUAACGGUUCGUUUGUUCAACGAUUAAAAUCCU